CACGUAGGGCGCAAGCGUUGUCCGGAAUUAUUGGGCGUAAAGAGCUCGUAGGCGGUCUGUUGCGUCCGCUGUGAAAACUCGGGGCUUAACCCCGAGCCUGCAGUGGAUACGGGCAGACUAGAGGUAGGUAGGGGAGAAUGGAAUUCCCGGUGUAGCGGUGAAAUGCGCAGAUAUCGGGAGGAACACCGGUGGCGAAGGCGGUUCUCUGGGCCUUACCUGACGCUGAGGAGCGAAAGCGUGGGGAGCGAAACAGGAUUGAGAAACCCCAGUAGGU
rnacentral:rRNA from 1 species